rnacentral:rRNA from 1 species
GAUGAACGCUAGCUACAGGCUUAACACAUGCAAGUCGAAGGGAAACGGCAUUACGUGCUUGCACUUUUUGGACGUCGACCGGCGCACGGGUGAGUAACGCGUAUCCAACCUUCCCAUGACUAAGGGAUAACCUGCCGAAAGGCAGACUAAUACCUUAUGGUCUUCACUGACGGCAUCAGAUGUGAAGUAAAGAUUUAUCGGUUAUGGAUGGGGAUGCGUCUGAUUAGCUUGUUGGCGGGGUAACGGCCCACCAAGGCAACGAUCAGUAGGGGUUCUGAGAGGAAGGUCCCCCACAUUGGAACUGGGACACGGUCCAAACUCCUACGGGAGGCAGCAGUGAGGAAGAUUGGGCAAUGGGCGAGAGCCUGAACCAGCCAAGUAGCGUGCAGGAUGACGGCCCUAGGGGUUGUAAACUGCUUUUGUAUGGGGAUAAAGUCAAUCACGUGUGAUUGUUUGCAGGUACCAUACGAAUAAGGACCGGCUAAUUCCGUG